AACAUAUAUUCAGCAGAUCACAACAGUAGAUGGACAGACCAUACAGCACUUAAUGACCAGAGACAACCAGGUCACUGAGGUCCAGUAUAUCAUCUCUCAGGAUGGAGUUCAGCAUUUGCUCCCAAGAGAGUAUGUGCUGGUAUCAUGGGAAACACAUUCAGAUGGGGGACUGGCAAAUCACUCACAUUCAGUAUGAACAUGAUGGGAUGUUUCUACAGGAACAACAGCAAAGGUGUCAACUGGCUACUCCAGCAUGAACCAGUCGUGGUAAGGCAUCUGUCCUAGAAGAAUUCUGUGCUCUGGAAUCUGCUGCAGACAAGCCCACAUCAGAUC